rnacentral:rRNA from 1 species
UACGAGGGGGGGCGAGCGUUGUUCGGAAUUAUUGGGCGUAAAGGGUGCGUAGGCGGUUUGGUAAGUCUUGUGUGAAAUCUACAGGCUCAACUUGUAGUCUGCACGAGAAACUGCCGGGCUUGAGUGUGGGAGAGGUGAGUGGAAUUCCUGGUGUAGCGGUGAAAAUGCGUAGAUAUCAGGAGGAACACCUGUGGCGAAAGCGGCUCACUGGACCAUAACUGACGCUGAUGCACGAAAGCUAGGGGAGCAAACAGG